UGUAGCCUACGGGGCGCAGCAGUGAGGAAUAUUGGUCAAUGGGCGCGAGCCUGAACCAGCCAAGUCGCGUGAGGGAAGACGGUCCUAUGGAUUGUAAACCUCUUUUGUCGGGGAGCAAAAGACGCCACGCGUGGCGUUCCGAGAGUACCCGAAGAAAAAGCAUCGGCUAACUCCGUGCCAGCAGCCGCGGUAAUACGGGGGAUGCGAGCGUUAUCCGGAUUUAUUGGGUUUAAAGGGUGCGUAGGCGGAUUUUUAAGUCAGCGGUAAAAUGUCCGGGCUCAACCCGGGCCGGCCGUUGAAACUGG
rnacentral:rRNA from 1 species